rnacentral:rRNA from 1 species
GACGAACGCUGGCGGCGUGCUUAACACAUGCAAGUCGAACGGUGAAGCGCCUUCCUUUUGGGUGGGGUGGGUGGGGGGGGGACGGGUGAGUAACAAGGUAGUUACCCUCCCCCCUCUUCUGGAUAAACCCAUGAAAGGUUGGGCUAAAAGGGAUAUUCCGGGUUCGUUGCAUGAUUGGGUUGGGGAAGGUAUUGGUUCGGGGGGGGAUGGGCUGGGGGCCUAUCAGCUUGUUUGUGGGGGGAUGGCCUACCAAGGCGGUGACGGGUAGCCGGCCUGAGAGGGUGGACGGUCACACUGGGACUGAGACACGGCCCAGACUCCUACGGGAGGCAGCAGUGGGGAAUAUUGCACAAUGGGCGCAAGCCUGAUGCAGCGACGCCGCGUGAGGGAUGGAGGCCUUCGGGUUGUGAACCUCUUUCGCCAGUGAAGCAGGCCUGCCUCGUUUGUGGGUGGGUUGACGGUAGCUGGAGAAGAAGCGCCGGCUAACUACGUG